GAUGAACGCUGGCGGCGUGCCUAAUACAUGCAAGUCGAGCGAAUGGAUUGAGAGCUUGCUCUUAUGAAGUUAGCGGCGGACGGGUGAGUAACACGUGGGUAACCUGCACAUAAGACUGGGAUAACUCCGGGAAACCGGGGCUAAUACCGGAUAACAUUUUGAACCGCAUGGUUCGAAAUUGAAAGGCGGCUUCGGCUGUCACUUAUGGAUGGACCCGGGUCGCAUUAGCUAGUUGGUGAGGUAACGGCUCACCAAGGCAACGAUGCGUAGCCGACCUGAGAGGGUGAUCGGCCACACUGGGACUGAGACACGGCCCAGACUCCUACGGGAGGCAGCAGUAGGGAAUCUUCCGCAAUGGACGAAAGUCUGACGGAGCAACGCCGCGUGAGUGAUGAAGGCUUUCGGGUCGUAAAACUCUGUUGUUAGGGAAGAAUAAGUGCUAGUUGAAUAAGCUGGCACCUUGACGGUACCUAACCAGAAAGCCACGGCUAACUACGUGCCAGCCGCCGCGGUAA
rnacentral:rRNA from 1 species